GCAACAGCUCAAAUUUGAAAUCUGGCUCACGCCCGAGUUGUAAUUUGUAGAGGAUGUUUCGGGUGAAGCCGCGGUCCAAGUCCCUUGGAACAGGACGUCAUAGAGGGUGAGAACCCCGUACCUGGCCGCCGGUGCCCCCCGCUGUGAAACUCCUUCGACGAGUCGAGUUGUUUGGGAAUGCAGCUCUAAAUUGGUGGUAAAUUCCAUCUAAAGCUAAAUACCGGCCAGAGACCGAUAGCGCACAAGUAGAGUGAUCGAAAGAUGAAAAGCACUUUGAAAAGAGAGUUAAAAAGUACGUGAAAUUGUUGAAAGGGAAGCGCUUGCGGCCAGACUUGCCCGCGGUUGCUCAGCCCGCCUUUUGGCGGGUGUACUCUUCCGCGGUCAGGCCAGCAUCGGUUUGGGCGGUCGGAUAAAGGCGUUGGGAACGUGGCCUCCCCUCGGGGAGGUGUUAUAGCCCGGCGCGCAAUGCGGCCAGCCCGGACCGAGGUUCGCGCUUUGCUAGGAUGCUGGCGUAAUGGCCGUAAGCGGCCCGUCUUGAAACACGGACCAAGGAGUCUAACAUCUAUGCGAGUGUUUGGGUGUCAAACCCGUGCGCGUAAUGAAAGUGAACGGAGGUGGGAACCGCAAGGUGCACCAUCGACCGAUCCUGAUGUCUUCGGAAGGAUUUGAGUAAGAGCAUAGCUGUUGGGACCCGAAAGAUGGUGAACUAUGCGUGAAUAGGGUGAAGCCAGAGGAAACUCUGGUGGAGGCUCGCAGCGGUUCUGACGUGCAAAUCGAUCGUCAA
rnacentral:rRNA from 1 species